GACGAACGCUGGCGGCGUGCUUAACACAUGCAAGUCGAACGGUGAUCUUGGGAGCUUGCUCUUGGGUGAUCAGUGGCGAACGGGUGAGUAACACGUGAGUAACCUGCCCCUGACUCUGGAAUAACUUCGGGAAACCGAAGCUAAUACCGGAUACGACACAGAGCUGCAUGGCUACUGUGUGGAAAGUUGUUCGGUUGGGGAUGGACUCGCGGCCUAUCAGCUUGUUGGUGAGGUAAUGGCUCACUAAGGAGACGACGGGUGGCCGGCCUGAGAGGGCGAUCGGCCACACUGGGACUGAGACACGGCCCAGACUCCUACGGGAGGCAGCAGUGGGGAAUAUUGCACAAUGGGCGAAAGCCUGAUGCAGCGACGCCGCGUGAGGGAUGAAGGCCUUCGGGUUGUAAACCUCUUUCAGUAGGGAAGAAGCGCAAGUGACGGUACCUACAGAAGAAGCACCGGCUAACUACGUGCCAGCCGCCGCGGUAACAC
rnacentral:rRNA from 1 species